rnacentral:rRNA from 1 species
UACGUAGGGAGCAAGCGUUGUCCGGAAUCAUUGGGCGUAAAGCGCGCGUAGGUGGCUUCGUAAGUCCGUUGUGAAAGUCAAAGGCUCAACCUUUGAAAGCCGAUGGAUACUGCGGAGCUAGAGUACGGAAGAGGCGAGUGGAAUUCCUGGUGUAGCGGUGGAAUGCGCAGAGUAUCAGGAGGAACACCAAUAGCGAAGGCAGCUCGCUGGGACGUUACUGACACUGAGGCGCGAAAG